CUUGCUCUUGGAUCCCAGCUGCCAAGUCAGGAGGAAGCCAUGGCCACCCAGGAAGGCCCCAGAUACACUCAACCACAGAUCCUAUUAACUGGCAACCUGAAGGUUUAUGCACCUUGAGGACUGCUGAACACCUUGACACAGCUAGCUCGUGCAUCUAAGAGAUUGACUGAGGCAGCAGCUUUGAAAUACUUCUUCAACUACUGCAAAGACUGCAAGAUAUCCAUUAAAGCACAAUUUACUUCAUCAGCAAGCCUUCUGCAAGCUGUUCCCAAAAAGGGUGAAAUGAGCUGUGGCCUGGAAAGGUUACCUGGACACGUGGGAAAUUUCACAAUCUUUUCAACGUUGGCUUUUUUCCAUGUAAAAAGAAGCUAUCAUCUUCUGGGAAGAAAAAAGGCUGAGAAAUUCCGUGAUCUGCCAUCUGCAAGCUGGAUAAUAAGAUAAGCUGGUGGUGUAAUUUAGUCUACACUGGAAUGCCUGAGAAUCAGGAGUUAACAGUUUAAGUCUUCUUCAGAGUCCACAGGCUGGAGAACCAGAAGCUUUGGUACCCCAAGACAGGAGCAGGUGGGUGUCCUAGCUCAAGAAAAGACAGCAAAUUCACCCU
rnacentral:lncRNA from 1 species